UUUUUAGUGUAAGUCCCAUGCAAUAUUUGGAAAAUAUACUAAAA
rnacentral:miRNA from 1 species